CAAUAAGCCAGCUGACAUGCAUGUUUAUCUCUCAACCUGGUUGAGUAAACCAUCCUUUUUAAUCAUUUAAUUGUAGAGUUUAAAUCUGAUUGCUAUUUUUCUGUAAACAGUUGUCCCUUGUUACUAUCAAAUUUGAGAAAUCGUUGAUAUUAAUUUGUUUUUUUACUAUUUUUUGUACAUUUUCUACAAAAUGAUGCAAUAAUGAGUUUAACUUACAUUUGUUGACAAAUGUUUUCUUUCAGUAUUUAUGUUUUUUUUCUUGUCAACUAGACUUGUGAUUAUUAAUUGUCGCUAAAUUUUUGCCUUGAAACUACAUACAUAUGAUUAAUUAUGUCAUUGUUUCGUCUAAGUGUUCGUCGCUUUUGUAAGUCUAUAAAACCAGAUGCAUCACCUGACUCAAAGUAUGUUCAACCGGUUAAAGGUUUUCGUAAACUAAUAGCUGAGUAUUUAACUAAAUUUGUCGGUUCAUAUGAAGAUGUUUUAUCUAAAAGAUUUCCCAAAGCAUUUGAAGUCUACCAAGUUUUCACCGUCGGUACACGAGCUCUUUACACUGAUACCGUUGAAUAUCUAAGAAUAUCUCGAGAACUCUCUUAUGGAAAAGAUGUACGCUCUUUAUCUUAUCAAGAGCUUUUAGUCUAUUAUCAAACACCAAAGGAUUUACUCAAAGUUGCACCAACUUUGUUAGUUUCAGCUGCCCCUUUCGCCAAUUACGUGGUGUUUCCAUUAGCUUUAUAUUUUCCUAAACAAUUAUUGUCUCAACACUUUUGGAGCAAGGAAAUCCGCUUCAAUUAUCAAUUAGAAAAAACAAAGAAACGAUUGAAACACAAUCGACCCAUAUUUCGCUAUCUUCAAUUCAAACUCUCUUCAAUUCCUAAGCAGUUGUCCAAUUCACCUGACAUCGAUUUCAAAGAGCAAUGCAAACUAAUUUAUGACAAACUUGGAAGUGGAACGCAUCCAACUGUUGAAGAAUUACUCAAAGUAUCUCCUGUUUUUGAUCAGCAACCAUACGGACUCCUGCAUCUUUCAAAAUCUCAUUUGUCUCAUCUCUGUAAGAUGCAUGGAAUAACGUCUUUACCUCGAAAAGUACCUCGACUUGUCAACUAUUGUGGAUUGGUUCACGAGUUAGAUUUAGCUAUUUUACGAUUAGGAGGAUCUGCAAAAUUAUCUGACAACGAUCUCAAGCUUGCUGCCAACAUGAGAGGAUUGAAUCCUUUUGGGUGUAGUAGAGAAGAAUUAACCAAUUGGCUUGAUAAUUGGCUUUACAUUUCUAAAGCAUUGAAUGGCACAUGUCCAUCGUUAUUACUCCAUUGUCCCAUCUUUCUCGGAUACAACCAGCCUAGCAAUUGGAAGCUUAUCUACAAAUAACUUUUGUACUUCUAGUCAUCUUUAAUUUUGUUAUUUGACAUGUAUCAUCAUGACUAUUUUUAGGAAUAAUCCACAGCUCAAUUCUAGUUCAGUUCAAUUGACAGCAUCUAUGACAUUUAUGCUUCAAAGAAGGACCAAAAUGAAAUUAGUAAAUAGUAAUUUCUGAAAUAAUAUAUGAGGCUGAUUGAUUGCUGGACUUUUUUCGAUUCAACCAAAACUGGUGCUUAAAGGCUGUCCGAACUAAAAGCCACUAAAAAUGGUGAAAAUUUUCUGUAUUCAUUGAAUAUGUUUGAACAAGUAUUUUUCAAUUGGUGAAGUUUUUUGCCAGAUAAGUCCAUAACACAUUCGUGCUGUUGCAACAUUUUGUUUGUCUAACUGUCUUUAAGAACUGAAACAUUAUUAAUUUUAUAUUCAACUAUUACACAAAAACUGUCUUGAAUUAACUUUCCAGCCUUUCCUGCAAAUACAAUUGGAUUCUUUCUAUCAAGUGAUCAUUAUUUUGAUUUUGUUGUUGUCCAUUUUCAACAGCAGCUAACCAAUGAAAGGAUACUAAAUAAUAUCGAUUGAUGCCACAAGAAAGAUAAAGAAACAAUUUCUGUCAUAUUUGUGCAUCAACAUCUGUUUUUCAUUGUUAACAUUGCUUUUGAAAUCAAAGAUUUCUCGCAACCAGUUAGUAAUUAACAAUGAU